AUCCUGGCUUAGGAUGAACGCUAGCGGCAGGCUUAACACAUGCAAGUCGAGGGGCAUCGGGAGUAGCAAUACUGCCGGCGACCGGCGCAAGGGUGCGUAACGCGUGAGCAACAUGCCCGUAUCAGGGGGAUAAUCCAUGGAAACGUGGUCUAAUACCCCAUAGUAAUUAUGUAAGGCAUCUUAUAUAAUUUAAAGCUUUGGUGGAUACGGAUUGGCUCGCGUGACAUUAGCUGGAUGGUAAGGUAACGGCUUACCAUGGCUACGAUGUCUAGGGGUUCUGAGAGGAAGGUCCCCCACACUGGAACUGAGACACGGUCCAGACUCCUACGGGAGGCAGCAGUGAGGAAUAUUGGACAAUGGAUGGAAAUCUGAUCCAGCCAUGCCGCGUGCAGGAAAGACGGCCCUAUGGGUUGUAAACUGCUUUUGUAUGGGAGCAAUAAGGGCUACGUGUAGUCCGAUGAGAGUACCAUACGAAUAAGCACCGGCUAACUCCGUGCCAGCAGCCGC
rnacentral:rRNA from 1 species